UAGUCACCAUCACACCCGGAGGAGCCGC
rnacentral:piRNA from 1 species